UACGGGGGGGGCAAGCGUUGUUCGGAAUUACUGGGCGUAAAGGGCGCGUAGGCGGUUGGAUAAGUCAGCUGUGAAAACCACGGGCUUAACUCGUGGCCUGCAGUUGAGACUGUCUGGCUUGAGUGUGGGAGAGGAGAGUGGAAUUCCUGGUGUAGCGGUGAAAUGCGUAGAUAUCAGGAGGAACACCGGUGGCGAAGGCGGCUCUCUGGACCACAACUGACGCUGAGGCGCGAAAGCUAGGGGGGCAAACAGG
rnacentral:rRNA from 1 species